GAUCUUUAAUUCGUUGAAGUAUUUAAAAGUAAAUAAUUUUGACCGUGAGUCGUGUGCCAAAGAAAUUGUGCUUCAGUUGCAGAAGCAGCUAGGAAGUGAGUCGGAGUAAUUGAAGGCUAUUGAAAAUCCAAAACGAAGAAAUCAAUUGCCACUUGCCGGUGGCGUGUUUCAUUGGGGAGUCGGCCAGACCGAUAAACAUCGUGUAGAUCGUCGGCGGCUGGUAGAUUGUGGAGUGCUAGUGAGAUCGAUCCACGUUCAUUGAAAUCUCGAUCCGUUGCGGUCAGUACCAGGCACGGUAUCCCUGGGUGGACCUAUCGCCUCGUGGUUUCGGACCACUAUAGGUCCAUCUAGUAGAGAGCAUUGGACAUCGAAGGGAAAACUUGGCCCCACGUGAAUCAUACGCUACAAGUGAUUUACACUGCCCGUGGGAUCGUCCAGUAAGUGGAAAGUGAACCAGUGCCAGAGUACCCGCCCCGACUCACAUCGAAAAAAAAUCGGAGGCCCUCCGUAUGGUACGAAACGACCGCCCGCCGCACGUGUAGGCACCUCACAUCAGCAUUCCGCCAACCGCGCGUCUCCAUCCUCGCUCGCCGCCGCUUCACCAGGCGAUCGAGAUCUGUCGACGACAUGAAGCGAUCCUUUCAUCUCACCUAGAUUGCUCAGCCACAAGGGGUGGCCCUAUUCCUCGACGAAAAACCGUUCUCGCAUCCUACGUAGCUGCCCCUCACGGCCGCAGUCACCUUGCGUCGUAUUGAAGACGGAGAGAGAUUUGUCUCGCAUCGACUGGCCCGUCUGAGAUCCGUAUCGACCACCGGCCCUUAACAGGAUCGAUCCACCCACAAUCUGGGAGGGUUAGACGGGUAAUCAAUCAUCGGAAAAAGCCGUAAGUACGCCUACCAAAACAACACCCAUACACGCAAAGCCAACACGAAACUAGUAGGGACACACUAAUUGUAUGAGUAGGGGAAGAAGUAGUGGUUAGAGACUAGGCACGACUCACAGAAACAACACAUUGAAAGGGAGUGACGUCACAUACAGGGACCUGAGUGACCAUCGGCUAGUCGGUACAGUUAGUUAGCGUACACUCCGGGAGAAUGGCCGAUGGUUAUUCAGU